UAGGGAAUCUUCCACAAUGGACGAAAGUCUGAUGGAGCAACGCCGCGUGAGUGAAGAAGGUUUUCGGAUCGUAAAACUCUGUUGUUAGAGAAGAACGUGUGUGAGAGUAACUGUUCAUGCAGUGACGGUAUCUAACCAGAAAGCCACGGCUAACUACGUGCCAGCAGCCGCGGUAAUACGUAGGUGGCAAGCGUUGUCCGGAUUUAUUGGGCGUAAAGGGAACGCAGGCGGUUUUUUAAGUCUGAUGUGAAAGCCUUCGGCUUAACCGAAGUCGUGCAUUGGAAACUGGAAGACUUGAGUGCAGAAGAGGAGAGUGGAACUCCAUGUGUAGCGGUGAAAUGCGUAGAUAUAUGGAAGAACACCAGUGGCGAAAGCGGCUCUCUGGUCUGUAACUGACGCUGAGGUUCGAAAGCAUGGGGUAGCAAACAGGAUUAGAUACC
rnacentral:rRNA from 1 species